rnacentral:rRNA from 1 species
CCUACGGGGGGCAGCAGUGGGGAAUAUUGCACAAUGGGGGGAACCCUGAUGCAGCGACGCCGCGUGAGUGAAGAAGUAUUUCGGUAUGUAAAGCUCUAUCAGCAGGGAAGAAAAUGACGGUACCUGACUAAGAAGCCCCGGCUAACUACGUGCCAGCAGCCGCGGUAAUACGUAGGGGGCAAGCGUUAUCCGGAUUUACUGGGUGUAAAGGGGGCGCAGACGGCUGUGCAAGUCUGGAGUGAAAGGCGGGGGCCCAACCCCCGGAGUGCUCUGGAAACUGUAAAGCUGGAGUGCAGGAGAGGUAAGCGGAAUUCGUGGUGUAGCGGUGAAAUGCGUAGAUAUUAGGAGGAACACCAGUGGCGAAGGCGGCUUACUGGACUGCAACUGACGUUGAGGCUCGAAAGCGUGGGGAGCAAACAGGAUUAGAUACCCCUGUAGUC